GAUGAAGAACGUAACGAAAUGCGAUAAGUAGUGUGAAUUGCAGAAUUCAGUGAAUCAUCGAAUCUUUGAACGCACAUUGCGCCCUUUGGUAUUCCUUAGGGCAUGCCUGUUCGAGCGUCAUUUAAACCUUCAAGCUAAGCUUGGUGUUGGGUGACUGUCCGCUUCACGGCGGACUCGCCUCAAAAUUAUUGGCGGCCGGUACAUUGGCUUCGAGCGCAGCAGAAACGCGAACUCGGGCCCGUCGUAUUGGCUCCCAGAAGCUAUCUUCACAAUUUUGACCUCGGAUCAGGUAGGGAUACCCGCUGAACUUAAGCAUAUCAAUAAGCGGAGGA
rnacentral:misc_RNA from 1 species